CUUGUCCAAGAUGAUGAUACUCCUGCCCUGUCACCUACUCUCUUGUGAUUACCAUUUGCAUGGGAUAUCUUUUUCAUCCCUUCACUUUCAGCCUAUGUGUGUUCUUAAAUCUAAACCUCUCAUAAGCCGUAGCAUGUCCUGAAUCUUACUGGCUUCGACAUUAUCAAAAUCAUGCUGCAGUUUCUCCAAAUGAAAUAAAAGGCUAAUAAUGUUUAUUAAUGUCACUGUUUAUUUUCAUUGACAGUCCUUUUGGAUAUGUCCUUCAAAGAAUAGGUCUAAAACUAAGAAGUUAAGACAAAAAUAGUGACCAUUUUUAAGUAGAUGAUUGACCAGUUAGAUGGAAGAGUGAUAAAAAUUUACUGUACAUGAAAAUGGUAUGAGACAAGUUGCACUUUCUUGAGUUUCUUUUUACCUUCAUCUAGCUUGUUUUUAUUUACCCCACCUAAUCUCUCUGAAAAACAAAAGUUUCACUAUGGAGAUCCUAACUGUUGAAAGAAGACAUGUAGGAGGGAAAAGCCAG
rnacentral:lncRNA from 1 species